GAAUCCUAAAGGUUGAGAUCUCACUGGGAAACUCUGAUAUAUAUAUCUAUAUUUUGUAAUAUCCAGCCCGUUGAUCUACUCUUUGCCACCCUCCCUUUCUGACUGUGCUACAGGACUAUACGCAGCACCUCGUCACUCGUGGCUGCUCCUGGAGUUACUCACAAGCAACGAGCCAUUUCCAUGGGCACAUCGUCACCGUGCAGCUGUCCACGGAAGUGGGACUGCCAACAUCUGACACAGCCAUAAAGAGGCAAGAAAACACCUCUGAGCUCCCCUGAAAUCUGAUGGAAGGGGAGAGCUUGGCAUGGGAUGGAUCUGAGACCGAGAGGUGCAAGCGGAAGGGAGCACGCUGCGCUCAGUCUUGGGGUACGGACAAGUGGGGCCCAGGGGCCACAUCCUGACCCUCCCGCUCCCCUCAAACUGGGCUUUGCUGCAAAUCAGGGCUCAGCUUCAGCAUCUUGCUGUCUGAAUUUUUCCCAUUGCCGUCUCCCACCUUCCUCCCCGUCCUCCUCCUCCUCCUCCUCCCGUUGUCCUGGAAACCAGAGGCCAUGACGCCUUGCCCCGGGUGACAGCCCCGUGACAAAGGCGGCUUUCACGGUGCCGGUGGGAUGGGGCCAUCCCUGUGCCCCUUCCUCCCUGCACAAUGCGGGGCGGCGAGUGCUGGGGGUGGCCCGCCACCCCGGGGGACAGCCGGUGGCAGCCAGCCUCCGCGGGUCCUGCCGUCCUCCUCCUCCUUCGCAGGGUGGAGGCCGGGUCAGCCGUCUCUGAAACCCCUCGCACACCCUGGUGGGUCCCCAAGUGUCAUUCAGCCUGAAGGAAGUUGUCCAUCAAAGCCGGGGGAGGCUGUGGGAAUACCUGCAGGGCAGGAGGUAGGGCCCGUCUCAGCAAAGCAGCUGGCCCUGCUGCGUUUCUCCCACCCGGCACUACCAAACCCAAGGAACUCACUGUUGCAAGCCUGGAAACAAUUUCCCCACAUCAGGAUUUCAGUAAAUUUUGGGGGCUGGAAAAUUUUAUUUUAAGGAAAAAAUCUGCUCUGCAGACAAAGGUUGGUCUGCUUGGAUGCUGCUGUGUGUGUGGCAUGUCAGCAAGCCUGGUUGCAAGCCAUGGUUGGAGAUGAGCUCCUGAGCGCUGAGGACCAUUCUUCUGCAGGGGUGUCAUGGAGGUAUCUCAGAAAGACUUGGAAGAAAUCCCAGCUCCCUCUUGCAGAUCAUCUUCUUGCCUAAAACAGAAGUAAAUCUACCACAAAGUCCCAUGCCACAUUAAAUCUCCCUGCGGAAAUAUUGGAUAUGCAGCAAAGGCAGGCACCUGAUUUUGGAGGCAGACAGAACAAUGAGGCAAGCAGGCUCUCCCAAAAAUAUGGGGCAGGAAAGAAGAAAUGCAUGCAGAAUGGAUCAGACACGUGUCUGCUUCAGGAAAUAAAUACCAGCAGGUCUGGUCCUAAUUAAUCUGC
rnacentral:lncRNA from 1 species